rnacentral:rRNA from 1 species
AGGACGAACGCUGGCGGCGUGCUUAACACAUGCAAGUCGAGCGGUAAGGCCUUUCGGGGUACACGAGCGGCGAACGGGUGAGUAACACGUGGGUGAUCUGCCCUGCACUCUGGGAUAAGCCUGGGAAACUGGGUCUAAUACCGGAUAUGACCUGCUCUCGCAUGGGGGUGGGUGGAAAGAUUUAUCGGUGCAGGAUGGGCCCGCGGCCUAUCAGCUUGUUGGUGGGGUAAUGGCCUACCAAGGCGACGACGGGUAGCCGACCUGAGAGGGUGACCGGCCACACUGGGACUGAGACACGGCCCAGACUCCUACGGGAGGCAGCAGUGGGAAUAUGCACAAUGGGCAAAGCCUGAUGCAGCGACGCCGCGUGAGGAUGAAGGCCUUCGGGUUGUAAACCUCUUUCAGCGAGGGACGAAGCGACGAAGUGACGGUACCUGACAGAAGAAGCAACCGGCUAACGUACGUCGCCGAAGCCAGGCCGC